AUAGAGUAUAGAGUAUAGAGGCAUUGAAUAUUAUUUUUAAAUACUAAAUGAAUUUCUUAUAAAAGAAAAUGUGAAGUAAUAAAAAAAGUUGACAUGUUGGGCGAUGGAUCCCAUCUAAAUCUAAUCCAAGGUUUGUAAAGAAAGGAAGAGAUGGCGAGAAAUGUAAUGCACGCGGUUCAGUAUGACGCCUAUGGCGGAGGUGCCGCUGGAUUGAAGCACGUUGAAGUUGGCGUUCCGAAUCCAAAGGCAAAUGAGGUUUUAGUGAAAGUGGAAGCGAUUAGCAUAAAUCCCGUUGACUGGAAGAUUCAGAAGGGUGUUCUGCGUCCUUUAUUUUUCCCCGGAAACUUUCCACACAUACCCUGCACUGAUAUCGCUGGAGAGAUUGUCCAGAUCGGAUCUCAAGUCAAAGAUUUCAAACUCGGUGACCAAGUCGUCUCUAAACUCUCCACUCGAUAUGGUGGUGGAUUCGCUGAGUUUGCUGUGGCUAGUGAGAGCUUAACAGCUGUCAGACCAUCUGAAGUCUCAGCAGCUGAAGCUGCAGCAUUACCUAUUGCUGCUCUCACAGCUCGUGAUGCCCUGGCUCAAAUUGCAGGAGUUAAGCUUGAUGGGACAGGCCAACCCAAGAACAUUUUAGUAACUGCUGCUUCAGGGGGUGUAGGUCACUAUGCUGUUCAACUGGCAAAACUUGGAAACAACCAUGUCACAGCCACUUGUGGGGCUCGCAACAUUGAUUUUGUUAAGAGCUUAGGUGCCGAUGAGGUUCUUGACUACAGGACUCCAGAGGGAGUUGCACUGAGGAGUCCAUCUGGUACGAAAUAUGAUGCAGUUAUAAACUGUACAACUGGAAUACCUUGGUCAACUUUUGAUCCUAAUUUGACUGAAAAGGCUGUGGUAGUUGAUUUAACGCCUAAUCCAACUUCGUUGAUGACUUCUGCCCUGAAGAAACUUACUUUUUCCAAGAAGCGUCUUGUGCCUUUUUUUGUGGAUGUCAAGCGUGAAGGCCUGGAAUAUCUAGUUCAAUUAUUGAAGGAUGGGAAACUCAAGUCUGUUAUUGACUCCAAGUUUCCUUUGAGCAAAGCUGAAGAUGCUUGGGCUAAGAGUAUCGAUGGCCAUGCUACUGGAAAAAUCAUUGUGGAGCCAUAAGUAUAGUUUGCUUGGAGUCGUUGUAUUUCUAGUUUCUACAUAUCUGGACAGGGUUUGUGUAAAGCUCAUAUAUAUAUGAGUCGUUGUAUUUCUAGUUUCUACAUAUCUGGACAGGGUUUGUGUAAAGCUCAUAUAUAUAUGAGUCGUUGUAUUUCUAGUUUCUACAUA